rnacentral:rRNA from 1 species
GAUGAACGCUGGCGGCGUGCCUAAUACAUGCAAGUCGAGCGAACAGACGAGGAGCUUGCUCCUCUGACGUUAGCGGCGGACGGGUGAGUAACUCGUGGAUAACCUACCUAUAAGACUGGGAUAACUUCGGGAAACCGGAGCUAAUACCGGAUAAUAUAUUGAACCGCAUGGUUCAAUAGUGAAAGACGGUUUUGCUGUCACUUAUAGAUGGAUCCGCGCCGCAUUAGCUAGUUGGUAAGGUAACGGCUUACCAAGGCAACGAUGCGUAGCCGACCUGAGAGGGUGAUCGCCCACACUGGAACUGAGACACGGUCCAGACUCCUACGGGAGGCAGCAGUAGGGAAUCUUCCGCAAUGGGCGAAAGCCUGACGGAGCAACGCCGCGUGAGUGAUGAAGGUCUUCGGAUCGUAAAACUCUGUUAUUAGGGAAGAACAAAUGUGUAAGUAACUAUGCACGUCUUGACGGUACCUAAUCAGAAAGCCACGGCUAACUACGUG